AUACUUACCUGGCGGCGGGUACGGGUUCUCAAGAAAACCCGGCUCCGGGUGGAGUCUGUACCAUUGCACUUCGGUACGUGAUGAAACCCGCCACUGGUCCAAAAUGGAUCAGAUGGGUCGUGUAAUUUUUGGUAGCGAGGUUUAGCGUACGCGCUGACCUCUU
rfam:Euroglyphus maynei isolate Arlian Lab scaffold20957, whole genome shotgun sequence.